GUGGUCAUGGAAGUCGAAAUCCGCUAAGGAGUGUGUAACAACUCACCUGCCGAAUGAACUAGCCCGGAAAAUGGAUGGCGCUGAAGCGAGCGACUUAUACUCAACCACUAAGGCAAGUGCGAAGCCUUAGUGAGUAGGAGGGCGUGGAGGUUGUGGCGCAUCUUGCGGCGUGAGCCGGAGUGAAACAGCCUCUAGUGCAGAUCUUGGUGGUAGUAGCAAAUAUUCAAA
rnacentral:rRNA from 1 species